AUAGGAAUUAAUCAAUAUUUUAUAUUGUUUUGUAGCAAAAUGUUGUUACACAGAAACAGGUAUUUUUCUUGUUUUUGUCCUGGAACCUCAGGUGAGAAUCAUGACUAUGUCGAGUCAAGUACACACUUAAAUUUAUAUUCUCAGUUAGCAGACUGGAGGGGGAUGUUACAUGAUGUCACAGGUAGAGGCGGCAGGUUAAAGGGUUGCUUCACACAACUCACUAAAAUAUGCAUUUACUCGUGCACCUCUAAUGGAAUCUGGUCAUGCAGAUGGUUUUGGUUUUAUUUGCUUGAGUUUUGAAAGGUCCAUCUUUGAAUUUUCAGCCUCCACCCCGACACAACGGAAGUGAAUGGAGUUUGCUUUGUGCUGCUUAGAUUAAAUUUAAAAAGUUUAGAGAAACUGUCUUCUGUUGUGCAACCAGAAUUUAGUUCCUUCACAUGCACACUGUGCUGAAAUGACAAUAAAACAUCGAAGCAACCUUAACUGAACAUUUGGCAACUUUUUAGCAGCUGUUACUCAAACAAGAGUAAAUUUGACAUUUGUUGGGCACUCAGUGGAUUAACUUUUAUAUUCAUAGCUCAGGUCAGAUCUUCAGUUACUGAUCUGGUAUGACAUAAUACACUGUAAAUCAUUCUUUUUUCAGUUACUGCAAGCACUCAACUAUGUCUGUAAAUAUUCUCAAAGUAAUUGUCUUUGACAAAUACUUUGAUGUCAAAAAGCAAUGCUUUAAAAAAUGUUUUGUAUUCAAAAGUUGUGCCCUGCUGGUAAUGGCUGUAAUGGCCCAGUAUACACUACCGUUCAAAAGUUUGGGGUCACUUAGAAAUGUCCUUAUUUUUGAAAGAAAAGCAGUUUAUUUCAGUGAAGAUAACAUUAAAUGAAUGAUAAAUCCAGUGUAGACAUUGUUAAUGUGGUAAAUGACUAUUGUAGCUGGAAACAGCUGAUUUUUAAUGGAAUAUCUCCAUAGAGGUACAGAGGAACAUUUCCAGCAACCAUCACUCCUGUGUUCUAAUGCUACAUUGUGUUAGCUAAUGGUGUUGAAAGGCUCAUUGAUGAUUAGAAAACCCUUGUGCAGUUAUGUUAGCACAUGAAUACAAGUGGGAAUUUUC
ensembl:lncRNA